GGAAAGGCGCGCGAUACAGGGUGACAGCCCCGUACACAAAAAUGCACAUGCUGUGAGCUCGAUGAGUAGGGCGGGACACGUGGUAUCCUGUCUGAAUAUGGGGGGACCAUCCUCCAAGGCUAAAUACUCCUGACUGACCGAUAGUGAACCAGUACCGUGAGGGAAAGGCGAAAAGAACCCCGGCGAGGGGAGUGAAAAAGAACCUGAAACCGUGUACGUACAAGCAGUGGGAGCACGCUUAGGCGUGUGACUGCGUACCUUUUGUAUAAUGGGUCAGCGACUUAUAUUCUGUAGCAAGGUUAACCGAAUAGGGGAGCCGAAGGGAAACCGAGUCUUAACUGGGCGUUAAGUUGCAGGGUAUAGACCCGAAACCCGGUGAUCUAGCCAUGGGCAGGUUGAAGGUUGGGUAACACUAACUGGAGGACCGAACC
rnacentral:rRNA from 1 species